ensembl:lncRNA
ACUGGGAAUCGAACUGAGGACCUCUGGAAGAACAGUUGGUGCUCUUAACCGCUGAGCCGUCUCUCCAGCCCAGCCUCGCGAAGAAUUUGACUGAAUUUAUUGACCCAUUGACUCGGGUGAGUCUCUGACACCCACGGGAGUUAAGGACUGGCAAUCAAGAGAGGCACUGAGAUGGGAGCUUCCUGGUGUCGCUGCUGUGCCUUUCUCCUUGAAUUACGUUUGGUUCGCCACGUUUGGGAGUCCCCUGUACAGCUCAGGAGAUGGCUGGCAUUUCUCGAGAAGUUCCUCUGGAUUCCUCAACAAUGAAAGAUUGUUAGAUGUCCCUGGAAGACACUGGUGGGAGUAUCCAGGAGAAAGAGGCCCAGCCUGUAAUCUCGCAACUCAGGAGCCCCGGAAAGCAACAAAGUACACACAGCGCAGGUGAAAGAGUCACAUAGACACAAUGGGAGCUCUGUUGCUCGGGAAAGCAGGGUGACCACAGCUGUGUCUUCAAGGACAGCCUGGCAGAGAACACUCUUUCUCCUUUGUUUUCUGAGCUUGAGAAAAGUGGGGAGGAGGGGAAGAGACAUCGCCCAACUUUCCCCUGAGAGCAAUCGUCCACGAAAACUCACCUGUACUAAGAGAACAGGGAGAGCUAUGGAGUAAACAGGCGAUGUGGUAUUUUAAUGGGUCAUGCUGAAGCGUUAAUACCUGGAACCACAUGAGAUAAAACCACACGUUUUAGUACCUGAAACCGCAUGAAUGACUCUUUGAAUGUGGCUAGAGUGGGCUGUCCUCGGGGAAAUCGUUACCCAGAAAGCAAGAGGAUUUCUAGAGAGAGUGGUAGUGGCUAUUGGAUGAGAAAAGUAAAACUGUUCUAUAUUUAUGCCUCACAGGUUGAUACCUCUCACCCUGACUGCAGAUGACCAGGGUUUUCUAGUCUACUCCCCUUAAAGUAUAAGCUUAUAGAGUCCAGGACAGAGGCAAUUACCUCUGUGGGCAUUGCCCUUCAGUGAGUAAAGACAUUUAUUCUCUAUCUAGAUAUAGACGUAUCUAAAUAUGUAUAAGAUCCAAAAGCACAUAGUAAGCUAUGUCUGUCUUGGGUGCUGAAGAGAUGGCUCAGUGGUUAAGAGCAUUGACUGCUCUUCCAGAGGUCCUGAGUUCAAUUCCCAGCAACCAUAUGGUGGCUCACAACCAUCUGUAAUGAGAUCU